AGUGAACGCUGGCGGUAGGCCUAACACAUGCAAGUCGAACGGCAGCACAGUAAGAGCUUGCUCUUACGGGUGGCGAGUGGCGGACGGGUGAGGAAUACAUCGGAAUCUACUUUUUCGUGGGGGAUAACGUAGGGAAACUUACGCUAAUACCGCAUACGACCUACGGGUGAAAGCAGGGGAUCUUCGGACCUUGCGCGAUUGAAUGAGCCGAUGUCGGAUUAGCUAGUUGGCGGGGUAAAGGCCCACCAAGGCGACGAUCCGUAGCUGGUCUGAGAGGAUGGUCAGCCACACUGGAACUGAGACACGGUCCAGACUCCUACGGGAGGCAGCAGUGGGGAAUAUUGGACAAUGGGCGCAAGCCUGAUCCAGCCAUACCGCGUGGGUGAAGAAGGUCUUCGGGUUGUAAAGCCCUUUUGUUGGGAAAGAAAAGCAGCAGGUUAAUACCCCGCUGUUCUGACGGUACCCAAAGAAUAAGCACCGGCUAACUUCGUG
rnacentral:rRNA from 1 species